CACACUAUCAUGCAGUGAAUACAUAGCUGUAUGAGGCGAACCGGGGGAACUGAAACAUCUAAGUACCCCGAGGAAAAGAAAUCAACCGAGAUUCCCCCAGUAGCGGCGAGCGAACGGGGAGGAGCCCAGAACCAUCAUCAGCUUGUGCAUCAGUGGAAGCGUCUGGAAAGUCGCAGGGUACAGGGUGAUACUCCCGUACACAAAGGUGCACAGGCUGUGAGUUCGAUGAGUAAGGCGGGACACGUGGUAUCCUGUCUGAAUAUGGGGGGACCAUCCUCCAAGGCUAAAUACUCCUGACUGACCGAUAGUGAACCAGUACCGUGAGGGAAAGGCGAAAAGAACCCCGGCGAGGGGAGUGAAACAGAACCUGAAACCGUGUACGUACAAGCAGUGGGAGCCUUCUUUAUGGGGGUGACUGCGUACCUUUUGUAUAAUGGGUCAGCGACUUAUAUUCUGUAGCAAGGUUAACCGUAUAGGGGAGCCGCAGGGAAACCGAGUCUUAACUGGGCGUUAAGUUGCAGGGUAUAGACCCGAAACCCGGUGAUCUAGCCAUGGGCAGGUUGAAGGUUGGGUAACACUAACUGGAGGACCGAACCGACUAAUGUUGAAAAAUUAGCGGAUGACCUGUGGCUGGGGGUGAAAGGCCAAUCAAACCGGGAGAUAGCUGGUUCUCCCCGAAAGCUAUUUAGGUAGCGCCUCGUGAACUCAUCUCCGGGGGUAGAGCACUGUUUCGGCUAGGGGGCCAUCCCGGCUUACCAACCCGAUGCAAACUGCGAAUACCGGAGAAUGUUAUCACGGGAGACACACGGCGGGUGCUAACGUCCGUCGUGAAGAGGGAAACAACCCAGACCGCCAGCUAAGGUCCCAAAGUCAUGGUUAAGUGGGAAACGAUGUGGGAAGGCCCAGACAGCCAGGAUGUUGGCUUAGAAGCAGCCAUCAUUUAAAGAAAGCGUAAUAGCUCACUGGUCGAGUCGGCCUGCGCGGAAGAUGUAACGGGGCUAAACCAUGCACCGAAGCUGCGGCAGCGACACUAUGUGUUGUUGGGUAGGGGAGCGUUCUGUAAGCCGUCGAAGGUG
rnacentral:rRNA from 1 species